GAUGAACGCUGGCUACAGGCUUAACACAUGCAAGUCGAGGGGAAACGACGGGGAAGCUUGCUUCCCCGGGCGUCGACCGGCGCACGGGUGAGUAACGCGUAUCCAACCUGCCUCUGACUGAGGGAUAACCCGUCGAAAGUCGGCCUAAUACCUCAUGGCAUCGUCUGCGGGCAUCCAACGACGAUUAAAGAUUUCAUCGGUCAGAGAUGGGGAUGCGUCUGAUUAGCUUGUUGGCGGGGUAACGGCCCACCAAGGCGACGAUCAGUAGGGGUUCUGAGAGGAAGGUCCCCCACAUUGGAACUGCGACCCGGUCCAAACUCCUACGGGAGGCAGCAGUGACGUCUAUUGGUCACUGGGCGAGAGCCUGAACCAGCCAAGUAGCGUGCAGGAUGACGGCCCUAUGGGUUGUAAACUGCUUUUAUGCGGGGAUAAAGUGAGGGACGUGUCCUUCAUUGCAGGUACCGCAUGAAUAAGGACCGGCUAAUUCCGUG
rnacentral:rRNA from 1 species